rnacentral:rRNA from 1 species
AUUGGAAGAAAAAGAGAAGCGAGCUUGUUAGAGCAAGCGGGCCUCAUAAAGUGUGUGUUAGAAUGGAUUGGAGUGUGGAACUUGACUCCAUGAAGUCGGAAUUGUAGUAAUCGUGGAUCAGAAUGCCACGGUGAAUAAGUUCCCGGGCCUUGUACACACCGCCCGUCACACCAUGGGAGUGGGUUGCAAAAGAAGUAGGUAGCUUAACCUUCGGGAGGGCGUUACCAGUUUGAGGGUUC